GGGGCGAUAGCUCAGCCGGUCAGAGCAGAGGACUCAUAAUCCUCCGGUCGUGGGUUCGAGCCCCACUCGCCCCA
rnacentral:tRNA from 1 species